GAGUUUGAUCCUGGCUCAGGAUGAACGCUGGCGGCGUGCUUAAGGCAUGCAAGUCGAACGAGUGUAGUUUCUUCGGAAGCUGCACGAGUGGCAAACGGGUGAGUAACACAUUGGUAACUUACCCCGAAGUGGGGAAUAACCAGUUGAAAAAUUGGCUAAUACUCCAUGUGUUGGUUCGUCAUAAGGCGAAUCAGUAAAGAUUUAUCGCUUCGGGAGAGGCCUAUGGCUCAUCAGCUAGUUGGUAAGGUAAAAGCUUACCAAGGCUACGACGAGUAGCGGGUGUGAGAGCAUGACCCGCCUCACAGGGACUGAGACACUGCCCUGACUCCUACGGGAGGCUGCAGUCAGGAAUCUUCCCCAAUGGACGAAAGUCUGAGGGAGCGACGCCGCGUGAAUGAUUAAGCCCUUCGGGGUGUAAAGUUCUUUUCUCAGGGACGAACUAAUGACGGUACCUGAGGAAUAAGAGGUUGCUAACUCUGUGCCAGCAGCAGCGGUAAUACAGAGACCUCGAGCGUUAUCCGGAUUUACUGGGCGUAAAGCGUGCGCAGGCGGUCCGGUAAGUCAAAUGUUAAAUCCUACGGCUCAACCGCAGGACUGCGUUUGAUACUGCCAGACUAGAGGCCGGGAGAGGCAAGCGGAAUGGCCGGUGUAGUAGUAAAAUGCGUUAAUAUCGGCCAGAACACCGACGGCGAAGGCAGCUUGCUGGAACGGUACUGACGCUGAUGCACGAAAGUGUGGGUAGCGAAGCGGAUUAGAUACCCGCGUAGUCCACACCGUAAACGAUGGAUGCUAAGCAUUGAGAGUCUCGACCCUCUCAGUGUUGUCCACCUAAGUUAACACGUUAAGCAUCCCGCCUGGGGAGUACGGCCGCAAGGCUAAAACUCAAAGGAAUUGACGGGAACCCGCACAAGCGGUGGAGCAUGUGGUUUAAUUCGACGGUACGCGAGGAACCUUACCAAGGCUUGACAUCUCCGGAAUCCCCCGGAAACGGGAGAGUGCCGCAAGGAACCGGAUGACAGGUGCUGCAUGGUUGCCGUCAGCUCGUGUCGUGAGAUGUACGGUUAAGUCCGGAAACGAGCGCAACCCUUGUCGCAUGUUGCAUAUUUCAUGCGAGACUGCCGGCUUUAAGCCGGAGGAAGGUGGGGAUGACGUCAAAUCAGCAUGGCCCUUACGCCUUGGGCUACACACAUGCUACAAUGGUCGGUACAAUGGGUCGCCAAACCGCAAGGUGGAGCUAAUCCCAUCAAAGCCGGCCCAAGUUCGGAUUGAGGUCUGCAAUUCGACCUCAUGAAGUUGGAAUCGCUAGUAACCGCGUAUCAGCCACGACGCGGUGAAUACGUUCUCGGGUUUUACACAC
rnacentral:rRNA from 1 species